AUGGAGUGCGUCCGCUCCGGAGCUCUUGAUCUGGGGCGCUCCGGGAAUUUCUUGGGGAAGAGCGGCUCCACGACGUCAUGUGGUAAAGUCAGAUGUUCUACAAACCUUGCUGGUUCUACCAAAUGCGAGCAAAACUUGCAUGGGAAGGUUAAACCCUUGCUGUUGUCAGCAAGUGGAAAAGCAAGGGGAACCUCUGGUUUGGUUCACAGAAGUGCAGUACUUAAACAUCAGCACCAUCUUUCUGUGAGAUCCACCUCUACCGAUGUAUGUACUACUUUUGAUGAAGAUGUCAAAGGUGUAUCUUCACAUGCUGUUGAGGAAAAGAUUGGAGUGCUGUUACUAAAUCUUGGUGGUCCAGAGACCCUCAAUGAUGUUCAACCAUUUUUGUUCAACCUCUUUGCUGAUCCAGAUAUCAUCCGACUCCCUAGGCUGUUCAGGUUUCUUCAAAGACCACUGGCCAAACUUAUUUCUACUUUUAGAGCUCCUAAGAGUAAAGAGGGGUAUGCCUCAAUUGGUGGUGGAUCACCUCUGCGGAAAAUUACCGACGAGCAGGCAAAUGCUUUGAAGGUUGCACUAAAAAGUAAGAACUUGGAAGCAGAUAUAUAUGUUGGAAUGCGUUAUUGGUACCCAUUCACCGAAGAAGCCAUCGAUCAGAUUAAGAAGGAUAAAAUUACGAAGCUUGUGGUUCUUCCACUAUACCCUCAAUACUCCAUAUCAACAAGCGGGUCUAGUAUCCGCGUUCUCCAAAACAUUGUCAAGGAAGAUCAAUACUUUGCUGGCUUGCCAAUUUCCAUUAUUGAAUCUUGGUACCAGCGCGAGGGCUAUGUGAAAUCAAUGGCUGACUUAAUUGAGAAGGAACUAUCAGUUUUUACGAAUCCUGAAGAGGUUAUGAUAUUCUUCAGUGCACAUGGAGUACCACUUACCUAUGUUAAGGAUGCUGGAGAUCCAUACAGAGAUCAGAUGGAAGACUGCAUUGCUUUGAUCAUGGAGGAGUUGAAAUCCAGAGGAACCUUGAAUGACCAUACUCUGGCUUACCAGAGUCGCGUGGGACCAGUUCAAUGGCUUAAGCCAUAUACUGAUGAAGUUUUAGUUGAACUUGGUCAAAAGGGUGUAAAGAGUCUCCUGGCUGUCCCAGUAAGCUUCGUUAGCGAGCAUAUUGAGACACUGGAGGAAAUCGACAUGGAGUACAGGGAGUUGGCUCUAGAGUCGGGCAUUGAGAACUGGGGCAGGGUUCCAGCUCUUGGAUGCACUUCAUCCUUCAUCUCGGAUCUUGCUGAUGCUGUCGUCGAAGCCCUUCCAUCUGCCUCUGCGAUGACGACCAGAAAGGUCAAGGAUACUGACUCUGACAUGGAUAUGAUGCAUUACCUGACCAAGAUGUUCUUCGGCUCGGUCCUGGCCUUCUUCCUGCUGUUAUCACCGAGGAUAAUAUCUGGGCGAGAAAGAAAGGAAGAGUUUGUUUCACUUAUGUCUUGCCCAUAA
rnacentral:rRNA from 1 species